rnacentral:lncRNA from 1 species
CAUUGGUAUAUGUGCAGUGAUCAAAUAGUUCUUAUAUUUGGGACGGAGAGAGAACUAUUUUAAUUAAUGAGAAUAACUUAAUAAAUUACUUGUUACUGUUUAAAGAACAUGAAUAAUAGACACAAGUGGUAAAUACUCGGUUGUUUGAACUACAGUAUUUGAUAAGUUAGUUGUUAUGUUAAUUUUGAAAAUUUGAACUAUCAGUCUCAUUGUUGAAACUAUCAUCAGGUUUUGUUU